UCUGCAGGCUGUAUAGGAAGCAGAGUGGCUU
rnacentral:piRNA from 1 species